CAUGCCGUAAACGAUGAAUGCUAAGUGUUGGAGGGUUUCCGCCCUUCAGUGCUGCAGCUAACGCAUUAAGCAUUCCGCCUGGGGAGUACGACCGCAAGGUUGAAACUCAAAAGAAUUGACGGGGGCCCGCACAAGCGGUGGAGCAUGUGGUUUAAUUCGAAGCUACGCGAAGAACCUUACCAGGUCUUGACAUCUUCUGCCAAUCUAAGAGAUUAGACGUUCCCUUCGGGGACAGAAUGACAGGUGG
rnacentral:rRNA from 1 species